CUGAAUGCAACACAAUCCACCAAUCAAUAAUUUACAGAUAUACAUACUGUCGUACCGUACCUAUCCUCCCGAGUUUUGGCUGCCGUCGUAGUGCAGGAGGUUGCGGUGGCCGUUGUAGCGUACUGUCGUACCGUACCUACCCUCCCGAGUUUUGGCUGCCGUCGUAGUGCAGGAGGUUGCGGUGGCCGUUGUAGCGGACGCCGGUAAUGUGGCCCUGUGGCUUGGACAGCGUCACCUGCACCAGGCCGUUGUCCACAGCCACCUGCAUGCCCAGUGCAAUACGUGUAAAGGGAUUACAAUAUCUUUCGGUCUCAAAUUUUCCUUCCUUGAGGUAGCCCAAAAAAAAACCUGCUGAAUUUGGCCUUCCAUCCUAAUCCGCGCCAAAAAUAGUAGUCUUAAACCUUCUCACGCAUUGGAUCUUUAUAAUGAAUAUUAUAAAUUAUGAAAUGCACUUUUAUUUUUAUUGUUUUUAUGUAAUAUAUGCUGGAUAGCUUAGAAUUAGAUUCCAGAAAUACCCUAUUAAAAAAAUAAAAUUAAAAUUUAUUUCAAUUACUCUCGAAAUUGAACAUAUAGAUCUACAUUGUGUAGAAACACACCACAAAAGUUUGGUGGGAAAUAUUUUUAAAAAAAAUGAAAAUAUACGUUGUCGAGUGUCUAGAUAGACACUCGACAAAAUAUAAAUUUGUCGAGUGUCUACGCUUGGCGCUCAGCAAAGUUAACGGCCGUCAGCUAUAACGACUGCUGACGAC
rnacentral:lncRNA from 1 species